rnacentral:rRNA from 1 species
AUUGAACGCUGGCGGCAGGCCUAACACAUGCAAGUCGAAUGGUAACAGGAAACAGCUUGCUGUUUCGCUGACGAGUGGCGGACGGGUGAGUAAUGUCUGGGAAACUGCCUGAUGGAGGGGGAUAACUACUGGAAACGGUAGCUAAUACCGCAUAACGUCGCAAGACCAAAGAGGGGGACCUUCGGGCCUCUUGCCAUCAGAUAUGCCCAGAUGGGAGUAGCUAGUAGGUGGGGUAACGGCUCACCUAGGCGACGAUCCCUAGCUGGUCUGAGAGGAUGACCCGCCAGACUGGAACUGAGACACGGUCCAGACUCCUACGGGAGGCAGCAGUGGGGAAUAUUGCACAAUGGGCGAAAGCCUGAUGCAGCCAUGCCGCGUGUAUGAAGAAGGCCUUCGGGUUGUAAAGUACUUUCAGCGGGGAGGAAGGGAGUAAAGUUAAUACCUUUCCUCAUUGACGUUACCCGCAGAAGAAGCACCGGCUAACUCCGUG